UGAAAAGGUCAGAUGUUAUCUCACAGCAUAACAAAUUCUUGGUACUGUGACCAAACCCAAGUUCAUUUACUCAUGGCUUAAAAUGACCCAAUGAAUGGAGGCCACGUUGUUGGAACAAGGAAAAUGAUUUAGUUAGUAAGCCAGCGAAACCAGGGAGUUGGUGGACCUGAAAGACCACUUUAACUAAGCACGGUUUUAAGCUCCUUUUCUCAUUAGGCAAGGGGGAGACAGAGGGAAAUGUUAGGAAAUUAUUGAUAACUAAAGACUCCCAUGUACCUCUCUGGUGAUUGGGAAUGGUUAUAAAACCUGGUGGCUGGUGAUCUGUUGAUUUGACACAUAGUCAUGAUGCCCUUUAUUAUAUCUUGAUAAUAAUCUUAGCUAUUCUUUAUUAUUACUAUCCUUGAAGUUGGGGGAGAGAGUGGGGAGUUUUCAGGUAAAUCAGUUUUCAAGAUGAUACUUUUGGGCAAAUUUUCCUUAAGUGAUUAACCAGGGUCACCUGCUCAGGGAGGUGUAGAUAUUUUCUAGUGAAGGAUAGAUGUGAGGUUAAAUACAACAAGGAGGAAGUGGGGCCAAGUUUUCUUUAAACCAUAAGCCUGGCUAUAAUUAUAACCUACACAUCAGAGAUAUUAUCUACAGCAGAGCUAGUGGGAUAUUAAUAAUAUAUUUCUCAGCUGUGUGACCUUCAAAAUUAGCGAUUUUUAAAAGUCAUCUAAAAGCAAUAAACUAAGAUCAAGUAAAGUUAAAGGGUUUACUUAGAUUUUCACUUGGUUUCAGUACCCCACCAUGCUAAGCUCUUUCCCAGUUUAGCAACUGAAUUCUGGAUUCAAAAUCCAAAAAUAUCAGAGGAACUCAAUUCUAAAAAGAACUGAGCCUAAUCCAAGAGAAACUAACUUACAACACUUGGGGCUCCAUGAUGAAGACAGAGGACCUCAAAAUGGUAUAUCCAUAUGUAUGGUUUGGAGAGGAAGAAAGACAGUGGCAUGAUUCUGGAAGUACAGCAAAAUUUUGCAAAUGCUAUGCAGUUUUCAAGAAAGAAGGAAAUAAAACUUCUGGCUGUCCUUAGAUUUAUGGUCUUCACAGUUUGCAACCUCUGCUGCUGGCAAUUUUACUGAGCUGGCACACUCUCCAGAGGACAUCAUUUUAUCUUUUAAAAACAAUUACAAUCAUAAUUAGUAUUGUUAUGACUUUUUAGGCACGGCAGGGGAAUGCAGUGAUCUGGCCUGCAGUUUAUCAACAUGAAAAGCUGGGAAUUUAGCUAUGUUAAGAGGGGCUUCAUGGUGCCUUCCUCUGAACCAAGUUCUGCAACUAUGGGCAGACACACCCUCAGAAGGAUCUUGUAUUUGGUGGGAACUCUACUGGGGGAAUCUCCCACUAGACACCCCACAGUUGGUAAUUUUCUUCUCUUUUUCACUGAAAGAGGUUACCAACUAUAUCAGUACACGUAAACUCUGCUGUACAUUGGAAAUUCCUGGGCAGUUUUGGAAACUGUUGAUGCUCUGGCUGUACCUGGACCAAUUAAAUUAGAAGUUCUGGAGGUGGGACCAGGCAUUAGUAUUUUCUAAAACUCAUGUUAAAGAAAAAAAAAUCAAUGACACUUGGUAAAGCAAGUUAAGGAAGACUUUACUGAGGACCAUCACCAUAAGUAAAGGGACAACAGCAAUGAGAUUUUAGAUAGGGGAGAAAGAUUGGGCUCAACUCUGAAUACAGCAGGGGCAAGUGGGAAGAAGCAGAGUGGGGUUGUUACCAACCUGAAUAUUAGAUUCAUGUACACAGUGUGCAGCAACCAAUUAAUAAAUGAACACUGACACUUGAGGUAGAGAAAUUUUAACUGAGAAGGUACCAACUCAGAAGGUUGGUGAUAUGCCUCAAAUUUGCCUUAUCCCCCAAGCCUGAUCAUGAGUUAUAUAAGGGAAAAGGAGAAUCCAAAGGGAAACUGAUAGUUUUCCAAGUUUUGAUGAAAUCAAGGUUUUCAGAUUUCUUGGCACUUGGCAUACGAUUCUGCAGUUCUACAAAUCUUGUAAAUCACCAUUUGUAACAAAUAUAGCAAAGUUAUCAAUUGAUAAUUAUAGGAAUGGGAACAGGGACUCUGUUUAGCUGUCUAAACAGAAAAUAAAGAGUGUGUUUUGUUUUGUUUU